UUGUCCUUCAGGUGCUGAAUGGCAGGGACAUGCCCCCUGGGGAAGACAGCACAUGAGGUGUGGGAGUUGGCUCUGUGGUCCGGAUCCCAACCUGAAUGAUGCUGGAGAAGAGACCUCAGAACCACUGUCAGCACCUGCACCACAGCUGGGCAGUGGUGCUGAGCCCCCAGCGCUACUCCUCCGGUGUUCUCGCCUUUGCCAAGGACCUGAUGACUUCGUCGUUGCUGCCAUCCCAAGGACAGGCUGCCAGAAGAUGCUGCAGGCACCGGAGGAUGCAUACCAGAAGCGUGGGGGUGGCCUGUUGCUGAGGUCCUGUUCGAGAACAACACUGUUGCACUGAUUUCUUUCCAUCUGUAUUUUAAAACCAAGCACCCACAGAGUCUAGGGAGAGGGUUGGGACUGGGGUUUCUGCAUUUCCUGCUUCUCGGUGGCAAAGCAGAUCCAGGGGGAGAGCCAGUGACGUGCAGCCCGAUUGGUAAGAUGGGAAAUCCCUGCUCAGCAUCCCAAAAUCCCAGGUUUGGCUUUCCUGAGACAUCCCACUGCUCUGCCACAGCCAUCCAGAGUCCCCAGUGGUAGCAGCAGUGCUAUGUGAGCAGGGAAGGCUCAACCCUGGGGGAGGGUGUGGGCCAAGAGACCCUGGCAGUGUGAAGACAUGAGGUUUUUUCACCUGGUAUCUGUGAAAUUAGCACUGAGAAGGACCAGGCUCAUCCUGUCCUCCUGUGCCCUGAGGAGCAGUUCCCACCCGCCCUCGCAGCAGCUCUGCGAUUUUUCUGAUCACAAGGAAAGCCAGUUUGGCUUGCCAACAAAGAAAUGCUUAGUUUGUAUGUCCUGAUUAUCAUUCUUCUGUCACUGUAGUGAAUUAAAACAGUUCACUGUGCUAGCAAAUGAGCAUCGGAGCUGGCAGAGGAUGAAAGGUGGAAGCAUGUGGCUGGGCAGGGUGAGGAGAGGGGAUGCAGCCCCCUUCCAGCAGUGUGAGGUGUAAAUUCAGCUGAACCUGUACUGUCAAUCCAUGGCCUGGCUGCUCUGAGGACAAGGCUCCCUCUCCAGCCAGCGCAGAGCAACCACGCUGUGUGCUUGGCCAUCUACUAUCUCCUCUACACAUCUCCUUAGUACCAGCUAAUGGGUACUGCCCUAUUUUAGCUGUAUAGGGACUAUAAUUUAUUCUGCAAGGUCUUGGGCUCUCUUCUUUUCCUCUUGCACAAAUAACUGGCUGUGCCCCUUAGCCCUAAAAAAGCUCCUUUGCUCACAGGCUGCAGCAAAGCUUCCUGCCUCCUGAUUUCCCCAGGCCACUGCCAACAGAGGGAUUUCUAUGAGAAGCACAGAGCGAAGUCGAGGGACUGCCAAAGCAGAGGAAAACAAGGCCAAGUGCACACAGAUGGUGAGCCCACAAAUUUAAUUUAAAAUCAUCCUUUAUUAUUCAAAAUAUUAAAAUUCAGGCAAUAAUGCCCAAAGGAACUGCACUGAUUAAAGUUCCCUAAUGUUUCAUGGCCAAAUCUUGCUGCUUCUUCCAAGGGUCACUGGGACAAGAAGUGAAACCCCUCUGGAGUGCAGAGAGAGGCAGGGCUGUACCUGCUGUAGAUCGUUUACCCAAACAGUUACUUACUGACCCAAUCAGCUUCACUUAAAGCAAAGCACCAGCUGUUCCUUACCCAAUUAAUGAUUGCCACAGCAAAUUAACAUGGCGUUACACCAGGCGUGGAUGUGGUCCGCAGAGUCCGGAAUGCACAGAGCAAUAUGCUAUUGCAAAAAUAAUCACAGUAAUAUCUUUACCGUUAGGUAGCAUCCUUCAUCUGGAAGGAUCGCAAGCUCCCUGUGCGCUAUAUGGCUCGCUUCGUGCAACGUGCUCUGCAGUGAGGGUGCGGAGGGCAGGAAGGAGGGUAUGUGGUUGCUGUUCCAAGGCAGAAUAAGAGGAACAGCCAGGGCAGCUUUACUGUGGUAGAGGCAGCAUUGACCACACAUGUCCAGGUCUUGGUUCCUGCAAUCCAAACAAAUUGUUAUUUCAUUGGUUGUAAAUCUGCUGGACUCAAAAUGUACCUUGAUCAUGCACCACGGACCUCUUUGAUGCCUCUCCCCUGUUGUGUGAUGUGACAGUUUGAUUGUACAGGGCUGUUGCAGGGACUUUUGGGCCCUGGUCAGGGUCACAGUUCAGCGUCAGAGCCGUUCUGCUCUGGGACAUGGCAGAUGUGGCAAGCACAGAGCCAGAUGGCCAACUGCAGUGAGCACCCCUGGGUGGGAAGAGGCCACAACGCUGGGCUGCAGAUGUGGGAAAGCCAAGCAUUGCCUCCCUGCUGAGCAUCCCCAGGUCAAGUGCUGCCUCUACAAUUCCUUCCUUGGUCCCUCUGUGCUGUGGGGCACAUGCACAGACUGCCCCUCGCCCUGUCCCUCUGUGGUGGUUCUGCAUCAUGGGGACCCAACAGCAGCGGCGUAGAGUAACUGAGCCAGUUUCUUCUUCCAUCAAAGUCCAGUUUACACAAAGGUUAAGUCUAGUUCCUAAAUACUCAUCACAGUUUUGGCUCUGCUAUGAGCCUGUGCCUUUUAUGACCCAGCCACGUUAAACCCCUUUAAGUUACAGUCCAGAUAGAUCAAUCAGCCUAGAGGGCUUUGGGACAAAGGUAUCUAGUGUUGAAGCAUUAAACUUUCCAA